UACGAAGGGGGCUAGCGUUGCUCGGAAUCACUGGGCGUAAAGGGCGCGUAGGCGGCCGAUCAAGUCAGGGGUGAAAGCCUGUGGCUCAACCACAGAAUUGCCUUUGAUACUGUUCGGCUCGAGACCGGAAGAGGUAAGUGGAACUGCGAGUGUAGAGGUGAAAUUCGUAGAUAUUCGCAAGAACACCAGUGGCGAAGGCGGCUCACUGGCCCGGGUACUGACGCUGAGGUGCGAAGCGUGGGGAGCAAACAGG
rnacentral:rRNA from 1 species